rnacentral:rRNA from 1 species
AGUGGCGAACGGGGUGAGUAACACGUGACCAACCUGCCCCGCGCUCCGGGACAACCGCUGGAAACGGCGGCUAAUACCGGAUACUCCGCGGCCCCCGCAUGGGGGCGGCGGGAAAGCCCCGACGGCGCGGGAUGGGGUCGCGGCCCAUUAGGUAGUAGGCGGGGUAGAGGCCCACCUAGCCGACGAUGGGUAGCCGGACUGAGAGGUCGAUCGGCCACAUUGGGACUGAGAUACGGCCCAGACUCCUACGGGAGGCAGCAGUGGGGAAUUUUGCGCAAUGGGGGAAACCCUGACGCAGCAACGCCGCGUGCGGGACGAAGGCCCUCGGGUCGUAAACCGCUUUCAGCAGGGAAGACCACGACGGUACCUGCAGAAGAAGCUCCGGCUAACUACGUGCCAGCAGCCGCGGUAAUACGUAGGGGGCGAGCGUUAUCCGGAUUCAUUGGGCGUAAAGCGCGCGUAGGCGGCCGCCUAAGCGGAACCUCUAACCCCGGGGCUCAACCUCGGGCCGGGUUCCGGACUGGGCGGCUCGAGUGCGGUAGAGGAGAGCGGAAUUCCCGGUGUAGCGGUGGAAUGCGCAGAUAUCGUGAAGAACACCGAUGGCGAAGGCAGCUCUCUGGGCCGUCACUGACGCUGAGGCGCGAAAGCUGGGGGAGCGAACAGGAUUAGAUACCCUGGUAGUCCCAGCCGUAAACGAUGGAUACUAGGUGUGGGGGGAUCCCCCCUCCGUGCCGCAGCCAACGCAUUAAGUAUCCCGCCUGGGGAGUACGGCCGCAAGGCUAAAACUCAAAGGAAUUGACGGGGGCCCGCACAAGCAGCGGAGCAUGUGGCUUAAUUCGAAGCAACGCGAAGAACCUUACCAGGGCUUGACAUGCGCCUGAAGCCGCGGAGACGCGGUGGCCGAGAGGAGGGCGCGCAGGUGGUGCAUGGCUGUCGUCAGCUCGUGUCGUGAGAUGUUGGGUUAAGUCCCGCAACGAGCGCAACCCCCGUCCCGUGUUGCCAGCAUUAGGUUGGGGACUCGCGGGAGACUGCCGGCGUCAAGCCGGAGGAAGGUGGGGACGACGUCAAGUCAUCAUGCCCCUUAUGCCCUGGGCUGCACACGUGCUACAAUGGCCGGUACAGAGGGUUGCCACCCCGCGAGGGGGAGCGGAUCCCGGAAAGCCGGCCCCAGUUCGGAUCGCAGGCUGCAACCCGCCUGCGUGAAGCCGGAGUUGCUAGUAAUCGCGGAUCAGCACGCCGCGGUGAAUACGUUCCCGGGCCUUGCACUCACCGCCCGUCAAG